UUAAAUACUUGUUAGGUGAGGCUCCUAUAUAAACACAGGCUACUGCUCAGAAAUGUCGAAAGACAGGCACGGGUAGGACAAAAAUCGUCGAAUUAAGGCGGUUUUCAAAGUAGCUAAAAGCAGACGCUUUUUACGUUAUAUAGUGCUAAAACUCAACGAAGAGAAGAACU
rnacentral:sRNA from 2 species